rnacentral:rRNA from 1 species
AGAGUUUGAUCCUGGCUCAGAACGAACGCUGGCGGCAUGCUUAACACAUGCAAGUCGAACGGGCUAAUUUGGGGCUUGCUCUAAAUUAGCUAGUGGCAAACGGGUGAGUAACACGUGGGAAUCUCCCCAUCAGUACGGAAUAACACUUGGAAACAAGUGCUAAUACCGUAUAUUCUCUUAGGAGGAAAGAUUUAUCGCUG